rnacentral:rRNA from 1 species
UCAAGCGAAGAUAGGGAUCAAGGCAAUCGAACGUCGGUAGUCAUCUAUAACUAGCGGAACAUAAGGUGAUGGAGUGGGCCCAGACCAUUCAGUACUAUGAGAAUCAAAGUUUUGGUUCGGGGGGAGUAUGUCGCAAGACUGAAACUUAAGGAAUUGACGAAGGCACACAGGAGUGGAGCUGGGGGCGUGAGUUGGACUCAACACGGGAACCUACCAGGUCCAGACAUAGUAAGGAAUAAACAAGAGUGGAUAGCUCUUUCUGAAUCUAUGGGUGUGUGCAUGCCGUCGUGUGUUGUUGUGUGUUGGUUUGGUCUGGUUAUCCGAUAACGAACGAGACUUAACUGCUAACUAGAUAUUUUCAUUUUAUGAAUAUAUCUUCUUAGAGGGACUAUAUGCUUUAAGUAUAUGGAAGUUGAGGCAAUGACAGGAAAGAAGAUGCCCUUAUAUGUCCUGGGCUGCACGCGUGCUACACUGAUGCAUACAACAAGUGCCUAGCUAGACAUAGUAUGGCAAUCUGGAAUAUGCAUCGUGAUGGGGAUAGAUCUUUGCAAUUAUAGAUCUUGAACGAGGAAUUCCUAGUAAGUGCAAGUCAUCAUCUUGCAUUGAUUAUGUCCCUGCCCUUUGUACACACGGGACGAGAGACUCCUACCGAUACCGGGUGAUCCGGUGAACCUAUGGACCUCGCAAGAGGAAAAAUAAGUAAACCAUAUCACCUGUAGAGAGAAGUCGAACAAUAAACGGACCCGGGCCGGUAAGCCAGA